GACGAACGCUGGCGGCGUGCUUAACACAUGCAAGUCGAACGAAGUGGCGAACGGGUGAGUAACGCGUAAUCAACCUGCCCUUCAGAGGGGGACAACAGUUGGAAACGACUGCUAAUACCCCAUACUGAAGGAGGGGAUUGCGUCUGAUUAGCUAGUUGGGGGGGUAACGGCCCACCAAGGCGAUGAUCAGUAGCCGGUCUGGGAGGAUGAACGGCCACAUUGGGACUGAGACACGGCCCAGAAUCCUACGGGAGGCAGCAGUGGGGAAUCUUCCGCAAUGGAGGAAAGUCUGACUGAGCAACGCCGCGGGGGUGGUGACGGCCUUCGGGUUGUAAAGCUCUGUUAAUCGGGGCGCGGUACCGGAAGAGAAAGCCACGGCUAACUACGUGCCAGCAGCCGCGGUAAUAC
rnacentral:rRNA from 1 species